ensembl:lncRNA
AUGCGCUGCUCUCAGGGCAGGAAUACUCAAUAUUCAUAUUACUGUUAUUUUUCUAAACUAUGCACUGCUCUCAGGGCAGGAGUACUCAAUAUUCAUAUUACUGUUAUUUUUAGGGUACUAUGUGCUGGCAGGAGUAAUCAAAAUUCAUAUAACUGUUAUUUUACUAAACUAUGCACUGCUCUCAGGGCAGGAGUACUCAAUAUUCAUAUUACUGUUAUUUUAAUAAACUAUGUGCUGCUCUCAGGGCAGGAGCACUCAAUAUUCAUAUUACUGUUAUUUUAAUAAACUAUGUGCUGCUCUCAGGGCAGGAGUACUCAAUAUUCAUAU